rnacentral:rRNA from 1 species
CGGAAAGGCCCUGCUUGCAGGGUACUCGAGUGGCGAACGGGUGAGUAACACGUGGGUGAUCUGCCCUGCACUUCGGGAUAAGCCUGGGAAACUGGGUCUAAUACCGGAUAGGACCAUCGUUUAGUGUCGGUGGUGGAAAGUUUUUCGGUGCAGGAUGAGCUCGCGGCCUAUCAGCUUGUUGGUGGGGUAAUGGCCUACCAAGGCGUCGACGGGUAGCCGGCCUGAGAGGGUGGACGGCCACAUUGGGACUGAGACACGGCCCAGACUCCUACGGGAGGCAGCAGUGGGGAAUAUUGCACAAUGGGCGCAAGCCUGAUGCAGCGACGCCGCGUGGGGGAUGAAGGCCUUCGGGUUGUAAACUCCUUUCAACCAUGACGAAGCAUUAUGUGACGGUAGUGGUAGAAGAAGCACCGGCUAACUACGUGCCAGCAGCCGCGGUAAUACGUAGGGUGCGAGCGUUGUCCGGAAUUACUGGGCGUAAAGAGCUCGUAGGUGGUUUGUCGCGUCGUCUGUGAAAUUCCGGGGCUUAACUCCGGGCGUGCAGGCGAUACGGGCAUAACUUGAGUGCUGU